UACAGAGGGGGCAAGCGUUGUUCGGAAUUACUGGGCGUAAAGGGCUCGUAGGCGGCCAACUAAGUCAGACGUGAAAUCCCCAGGCUCAACCUGGGAACUGCGUCUGAUACUGGAUGGCUUGAAUCCGGGAGAGGGAUGCAGAAUUCCAGGUGUAGCGGUGAAAUGCGUAGAUAUCUGGAGGAAUACCGGUGGCGAAGGCGGCAUCCUGGACCGGCAUUGACGCUGAGGAGCGAAAGCCAGGGGAGCAAACGGG
rnacentral:rRNA from 1 species